UGCCCUGCUGGUCGGUGGGCUGAGCCACCGUAACGCUGCGGUGAGGAGCUGCACUGCUCAGCACCUGGAGAGACUGGCUGAGGUCAUGGGGAUGGCUCGUCUCCUGUCGGGGAAGAAAGACCUCACUGACCGUUUCUUGAUUGCCAGGUGUAUGGUGUUUUCUCCGACACAUUGGUGCAGCUGGCUUCCAGGUUAAGCGGGCUUUGUGUCAAGAAGUAGUACGGCUUGGCUGGGUUGUGUUUCGCAGGACGCACGGCUCUCGACCCUCUUGCAAAUUCGACCUAAUGCAUCAUGGUCGCAAUAUCUUGAGAAACGUGGCCCCCAAUGGCGACUUUGCUAAAAUGUGGGACAAAUUCGCUCCGAGGAAAGAGCGAGAAUCCUUGAGGGAGGUCAUCUCAAAGGUUAACCUCAAAGAAAGGAAUAUCUGAAUAAUCCCCAACUUGACUAUAUGUUUGUAUCUAAAUAUUUGCACAUUUCCCAACUUGACUAUUAUCGCCUCCAGUCCCCAAACUCUAAUAUUUUCGCUCAUUCUAAGAAAUUUGACACUAUCAUCCAAACCCCCAUGUAAAUGCAUCUUUAAGCUGCAUCGACUCCCUGUCCAAGUCCUGAAUUCACUAUAAGGCAAUAUGAACCACAUUCAAAGCACUAAAUGACCUUUCCUCGAAGCUCCUAUCUGAUCUACCAGCUCAAUAGUGGUCUACUGAAACCAUACUCACC
rnacentral:lncRNA from 1 species